CCUACGGGAGGCAGCAGUGAGGAAUAUUGGUCAAUGGACGAGAGUCUGACCCAGCCAAGUCGCGUGAAGGAUGACUGCCCUAUGGGUUGUAAACUUCUUUUAUAUGGGAAUAAAACAGGGUAUGCAUACCCUCUUGUAUGUACCUUAUGAAUAAGGAUCGGCUAACUUCGUGCCAGCAGCCGCGGUAAUACGGAGGAUUCGAGCGUUAUCCGGAUUUAUUGGGUUUAAAGGGAGCGUAGGUGGAUUGUUAAGUCAGUUGUGAAAGUUUGCGGCUCAACCGUAAAAUUGCAGUUGAAACUGGCAGUCUUGAGUACAGUAGAGGUGGGCGGAAUUCGUAGUGUAGCGGUGAAAUGCUUAGAUAUCACGAAGAACUCC
rnacentral:rRNA from 1 species